GCGGUGAUAGCUCAGUUGGUAGAGCGUCUGCUUCCCAAGCAGAAGGUCGCGGGUCCGAGCCCCGUUCGCCGCU
rnacentral:tRNA from 1 species